UUAGAAUCGACCCAGUGAACAAGCACCAAACCAGCGUGAACAAGCCCCAAACCAGCGUGCGUGAGUGCAGAGUUGGAUGGUGAGACGUGCAUUGCAUGACGUGCAAUUUUGUGUCGUUCUUAUCAGAAUAAAGCUACAUGACUGGUGCUACAUGUUGGAGUUCCGUGUCGAUGACUGAUUGUACACAACGCCAGACGAGUACUGUUACACAAGUGUCAGUAGCAUCUUUGGCGCCCCCUGACAACGGUGAGUCAAGGACAUUUCUGGUUGCGACAACAAAUCAAAAAGCUGUAACCAACAAGUAACCAAUAAUUGCACUCAUCAACCAAUCUGUGAACAUUUAAUUAAACUGUAACGUUUUUAAACUUUA